rnacentral:rRNA from 1 species
AUUACCGAGUUUACAACUCCCAAACCCAAUGUGAACCAUACCAAACUGUUGCCUCGGCGGGGUCACGCCCCGGGUGCGUCGCAGCCCCGGAACCAGGCGCCCGCCGGAGGGACCAACCAAACUCUUUUCUGUAGUCCCCUCGCGGACGUUAUUUCUUACAGCUCUGAGCAAAAAUUCAAAAUGAAUCAAAACUUUCAACAACGGAUCUCUUGGUUCUGGCAUCGAUGAAGAACGCAGCGAAAUGCGAUAAGUAAUGUGAAUUGCAGAAUUCAGUGAAUCAUCGAAUCUUUGAACGCACAUUGCGCCCGCCAGUAUUCUGGCGGGCAUGCCUGUCCGAGCGUCAUUUCAACCCUCGAACCCCUCCGGGGGGUCGGCGUUGGGGAUCGGGAACCCCUAAGACGGGAUCCCGGCCCCGAAAUACAGUGGCGGUCUCGCCGCAGCCUCUCCUGCGCAGUAGUUUGCACAACUCGCACCGGGAGCGCGGCGCGUCCACGUCCGUAAAACACCCAACUUCUGAAAUGUUGACCUCGGAUCAGGUAGGAAUACCCGCUGAACUUAAGCAUAUCAA